rnacentral:lncRNA from 1 species
UGUCCUCCAGCCAAGAUCUGACACUCCUCAGUGAGGGGUACAGCCUGGUGGGGGCAGCUAAGGGAAUAGUCACCAACCUCUCUCAUAGCAGAUGUUUUCCUCUUUUUUCCACGCCUAGGGCUGGCUCUGGCCAUCUGGUAGACCUCUUAGCCUCCUGGCUCAGGGUUUCUCACACUAGUUUUCUGUUUGGGGCCCUAGGAGGCAGGUGGCUCCCCCAGGCAGAAUCGGCCCCACUGCCCCUCCUCCGUGCUGGUGUGGGUGACCCACAGUCAACACCAUCUAACUCAGCCCUUUCCCACUUUGUCCCCUGCAGGUGGUGGUGGGAAAGCCAAGGUUUCUGGCAGACCCAGCAGCCGAAAAGCCAAGUCGCCAGCGCCAGGCCUGGCACCCGG